rnacentral:rRNA from 1 species
AGUUGUAGAAUCACUGGUGAAUAAGGGGUGGGCAAGUUCUGGUGUCAGCCGCCGCGGUAAAACCAGCACCUCGAGUGGUCAGGAGGUUUAUUGGGCCUAAAGCAUCCGUAGCCGGUUGCAUAAGUUUUCGGUUAAAUCUAUGCGCUUAACGUAUAGGCCGCCGAAAAUACUGUGCAGCUAGGGAGUGGGAGAGGUACACGGUACUCGAUAGGAAGGGGUAAAAUCCUUUGAUCUAUUGAUGACCACCUGUGGCGAAGGCGGUGUACCAGAACACGUUCGACGGUGAGGGAUGAAAGCUGGGGGAGCAAACCGGAUUAGAUACCCGGGUAGUCCCAGCUGUAAACGGUGCAGACUCGGUGAUGCAUUGGCUUGUGGCCAAUGCAGUGCCGCAGGGAAGCCGUUAAGUCUGCCGCCUGGGAAGUACGUACGCAAGUAUGAAACUUAAAGGAAUUGGCGGGGGAGCACCACAAGGGGUGAAGCCUGCGGUUCAAUUGGAGUCAACGCCAGAAAUCUUACCUGGGGAGACAGCAGAAUGAAGGUCAAGCUGAAGACUUUACCAGACACGCUGAGAGGUGGUGCAUGGCCGUCGCCAGCUCGUGCCGUGAGAUGUCCUGUUAAGUCAGGUAACGAGCGAGACCCCUGCGUCUAGUUGCUACCAUUACUCUCUGGAGCAGUGGAGCGAAUUAGACGGACCGCCACAGUUAAUGUGGAGGAAGGAAGGGGCCACGGCAGGUCAGUAUGCCCCGAAACCCUAGGGCUACACGCGGGCUGCAAUGGUAUUGACAUGUGUUCCGAAUCCGAAAGGAGGAGGCAAUCAUCAAACAAUAUCUCAGUUAUGACUGAGGGU